rnacentral:rRNA from 1 species
GACGAACGCUGGCGGCGUGCCUAAUACAUGCAAGUCGAGCGGACGGAUGGGAGCUUGCUCCCAGACCGUCAGCGGCGGACGGGUGAGUAACACGUGGGCAACCUGCCUGUAAGACUAGGAUAACUCCGGGAAACCGGGGCUAAUACCGGAUAACUCUUUCCCUCACAUGAGGGAAAGCUGAAAGAUGGCAUCUCGCUAUCACUUACAGAUGGGCCCGCGGCGCAUUAGCUAGUUGGUGAGGUAACGGCUCACCAAGGCGACGAUGCGUAGCCGACCUGAGAGGGUGAUCGGCCACACUGGGACUGAGACACGGCCCAGACUCCUACGGGAGGCAGCAGUAGGGAAUCUUCCGCAAUGGACGAAAGUCUGACGGAGCAACGCCGCGUGAGUGAUGAAGGUUUUCGGAUCGUAAAACUCUGUUGUCAGGGAAGAACAAGUACCGGAGUAACUGCCGGUACCUUGACGGUACCUGACCAGAAAGCCACGGCUAACUACGUG